ensembl:snoRNA
AUCCUUUUGUGGUUCACAAAUAUUUGGGUUUUCGUGCUUAUGUGUGGGAUGUGCCUCUCUUAAAUUUUGUUGUGAUAUUGACACAAUACUUGUUUAAUA